AUUGAACGCUGGCGGCAGGCCUAACACAUGCAAGUCGAGCGAGCGGCGGACGGGUGAGUAAUGUAUGGGGACUGCCCGAUGGAGGGGGAUAACUAAUUGAAACGGUAGCUAAUACCGCAUACUAUAGGAUAAACCAAAUGGGAUUAGCUAGUGGGGGAGGUAAUGGCUCACCUAGGCGACGAUCCAUAGAUGGUCUGAGAGGAUGAUCAGCCAAAUUGGGACUGAGACACGGCCCAGCCUCCUACGGAGGCAGCAGUGGGGAAUAUUGCACAAGGGGCGCAAGCCUGAUGCAGCCAUGCCGCGUGUAUGAAGAAGGCCCUAGGGUUGUAAAGUACUUUCAGUCGGGAGGCGUUACCGACAGAAGAAGCACCGGCGAACUCCGUGCCAGCAGCCGCGGUAAUUC
rnacentral:rRNA from 1 species